UAGGAUGGUUGCUCUUAGCGAGCUGACUUCCCAUAACUAUAAUCUUGUGAUUAUAAUUAUUAACAUCGAUAAGCACUAAUGUCGAUUGUGCAAAGCGUAAUUGCCAGGCAGCAUGGGUUGACCAUGAAAAAUGGUAGUAAACAAAUCAUGUGUGAUAUUUUUACUCUGUCCCAUGGAGUGACCGAACGUCUGUGCGAUGCCGCUUCCGGCGGCGAGGAUGUUGUCUUUGAUGGCGGCGGUGCGAUUGAGCGUAUUGUGCACGGCGUCCGCCACCUUGCCCACUUGCUGUUCGAUCAGACUUUUGGCGCCGCCCAUGACGAAGGUGAUUAAGUGCAGCAGGGAGUCACGGAUGGCGGUCACACCGGUUACCAUCGUGUCUUUGAUGGCCUGCAGUUCCUCUUCCCGACUGGGAGGAAUGUUUACAGGCCCUGAUGUAGCGUUGUGGAUGAGUGCUGCACCAUCGGCAUUCGGGCUGAUAGUUUGAUCAAAAACUGGAGAUUCAGUGAAGGCGGCCUGCGGAAAGGUAAAAAAUGCCGGUGGGCUUGUCCAAUCGGUUGCGGGAGGCAGGGUGAAAUCCUGGGAUGACUGCUCCUCGAAUAACGGUGCCGCAUGGAUUAUAGCCGAACUGACCAUCAAACUGACAAGAAAGUGGAUUAGCAACAGAAGAUCUUCGCGCCGUAUUGACAUUGCAGUUAAUAAAAUGUCUGAGCUUUCGAGUAAUAAUUUUCCGAACAAUAUUUCGCUACUGUGGAAUAUUAUUUUAAUUAGUAAAAGUGCUAUAUUCAGAACAAGACCAACAUUCGGAAAUUGCCAGACUGUCGGACCGAACGGACAGCAGUUGAAUAUUCUGACUUGCAAAUGACACCGCGUUCAUGCAAAUAUUUUUCAUUGCUUGGCUAAAUAAACUGAGCAGGAAUUAGGUCUGAUGAAUUGUAAUAUACAAGACGCAAGAAGAAGAAGACGCUAGUCCUUUCCGGACUUCUUAGCAUCGCAAAAACAUUUUCCUCUUGCGGCUAAUUUACAUUCUAAAAACGUUUGGUAUGUUUUGGACGGGAAGGUAUUAUUACUUAUAUAUUCACAUACAAAAUACAAUCAUAUUAUUGUCUUCAGCGCUUGGUUUACAUUCCCUCAUCACAACUUAUUCUCAU